UUUUUGGAAAACACUUUUGACCUCUCGUUGGGUUAAGCCAAGGAAGAAGAUUAGCCAGCAGUUGAAGCUUACAUUUUUCUGCGUCAGUAGGCCUACUCGGUCUGGGGUGGAAAGGUGCGAGGGCCAUCCUGUGCCACCAGUCAAUUGAUGGUGGAUGACCUUCUGACCCCGUGCUCGCCAGGUGACCCGGCUGCCAUAGAAUUGACCUGGAUGGAUGUGCCUAGCGACAAGCUGCUGUAGCCCAUCUGCAUGUCCGACAUGCUGCCCUCACUAUAUACCACGCAACCCACAGUCAACAUGGAGGUCUUGUUCAAGGUCAGGAAGUUCACAGAGGACUUAGAACAGGAGGGUUGAGAGCUCCUGGGUGGCAGGGGCUUUACUACUUCUUACUCAGUCUCUCCUAUCAAGACCCAACUCCAGUCAAAGAGUAGCUACAGUAUUACAGCAGUAUUACAACACUACGAACCUGCAUUGGCAAGAAUGAUGGAGCAUUUUAAUUUACACACAAUUGUGCAAUGGAAAUGUUUUUUUUUUUGCAUAUCCCAACUCCCCCU